rnacentral:rRNA from 1 species
GUCUACAGCCAUACCACCCUGAAUGUGCCCAAUCUCAUCUGAUCUCAGAAGCUAAGCAGGGUUGGGCCUGGUUAGUAUGUGGAUGGGAGA